UGUCGGAGAGACAUGGAACAAAAACCUCUAUGUGGGUCUCGCUUAGACCUACAUUUCAUAGAUUGACAACCUCCAACAAAAAUCAACAGGAAGUUUGCAAUCCUUCCUUCAAAACAAAAGUUUUGUAAAAAACGGUCACCUUUCUUCAAACAUUAUCUCCUCUGAGUGCGUUUGUUGUUUUGGCUUCAAACUCGCACAGGAGAGGGAUUGAACCCUUCUGAUUAAAAGUAUAGAACAGAGUUUUGAUAAGUUUUUAGGUUUUGAUUUUACGCGCCUUCAAAGAACCCCUUUGCAAAGUCUCCUGAAAAAUGUCAUUUUUGCCUCUUUGAGCUGUUAUUUGACCCCCUUAAAAUGCUUCUAAACUCACCAAACUUGACACACACAUCAGGUCUGGCAAAAACUGCGAUCUGAUGAAAAAAACUAACCUCCAAACUCAAAAUUGGAUUCUACCGCCCCCCUAGGAAUACAACACGGACAAACUGCUCCUAGGAAGAAAACACAGACAAAACUGCUUGUAACUUCCGGUAGGAAUGUCAGAGAGACAUGAAACAAAAACACUAAGUAGGUCUCACUUAGACCUACAUUUUAAUAAUUAACAUACUUUCGCAAAAAUCAACAGGAAGUUUGAUAUUUUCACUUCAAUACAACAACUGCAUUACUUUCACAAUGCAUUAGAUUCUCAAAAUAGUGGCUCCAAGGCGUCUUCUAACGCUUAUCCGGACGUGGGUCUCGGGGGCAGCCGCCAAAGGCGGGCCCGACCAACGCUGCUUGCAGCUUUAAUUACAGUUUGUCGCUACAUCUGUAAGGGCACGUUCAAACUCUACUAUGCCAAGGGACAACAACAACACCCGGAAAUGCCAGUUUAAGCCUGGGGGCAACAAGAAUUGCCACCCCAGCCUGUCGCCCGUGAUUUCCGCUGACGGGUCUGCCAACUUCCAGCGCCCCUUACAAAAAAGGUGUCAUCAGUGUUUGAACCUGACAUCUUCUUGGUCCUUCGAGCCGGAUUCCAACACGUCUGACGAUUCCAGCAAGAGUGAGUGAAACCAGAAAGACCAUGGCAUCCAAAUCCUGAUUGAGGAACUGCUUUUUCUUUAAUUUUGGCUGGAAUUGGACGACUGACGGAAAACCGAGGACAAAAGGAAGGAAUGCAGAGUUCACUAACUGUGGAGGGGGCGUGGCCUGCGGGCCUGCAGCGAAGCAGUGUGUGCCAGGACCGGCCUCGAAAUCAGCGACAGGUGCGUAAACGGCCCACCUGGGCCUUGUUAUCUAAUCACCUGUCGCUCUGUUAUAAGCAGCAGCCAGGAGGAGAGACGGGGUUGGGGCUGGAGCCAGAGUGCGAAGGAGAACAAAAGAGAAAAAGACAAUUGCCGGAACGCAACGGAGAGACUUAUUGAAAAAUAAAAAAUAUUGCAACCCUGAAACAGGCUCUCAUGUCGGUUCUUGGUGGUCUGAUGAACCCCCGGGAGGGCAAACCCUAAACUAAUCAAUAAUAAAUAAAUCACUUCUUACCCUUAAUGCAACACAGAUCUGAUAUGGUCUAUUACAGGGGUCGGGAACCUUUUUGGCUGAGAGAGCCAAGAACCAAAAUAUUUAAAAACAUAUUUCCCUAAGAGCCAUAUAAUAUUUUUUUUAACACUGAACACAACUAAACGUGUGCAUUUUUAAGUAAGACCAACAUUUCUAGAGUAUAACUGCUCCCUUAUUAUUUGUAACAACAUUGUUAUUCUGAAGCUAACUGUGGAGGGGGCGUGGCCUGCGGGCCUGCAGCGAAGCAGUGUGUGCCAGGACCGGCCUCGAAAUCAGCGACAGGUGCGUAAAUGGCCCACCUGGGCCUUGUUGUCUAAUCACCUGUCGCUCUGUUAUAAGCAGCAGCCAGGAGGAGAGACGGGGUUGGGGCUGGAGCCAGAGCGCGAGUGAGGACGAAAGAGAAAACGACAAUUGCUGGAAAGCAACUGAGAGAAAAAUCAAAUAAAAAAAUAAUAUUGUAACCCUAAAACAGGCUCUUGGUGGUCUGAAGAACCCCACACUAACCAAUAAUAAAUAAAUGACUUCUUACCAUUAACGCAACUUCUUGAACAACAACGGCAGCGGUUACUCCCUACUGCGUGUUGGCGUUGCGGCAAAGAGGGACAUUU